UUGUUAUGGGGAGUCGGACCUGCCCGGUGAAAAAUUUUAACGGCCGCGGUACUCUGACCGUGCAAAGGUAGCAUAAUCACUUGCCUUAUAAUUGAAGGCUAGUAUGAAUGGUUUGACGAAAGCAUGUCUGUCUCCUUUCCGUUCUAUAGAAAUUAACUUUCAGGUGAAGAGGCCUGUUUAAGGUUGAAGGACGAGAAGACCCUGUCGAGCUUUAAGAGAACAAGGAAAACUUUAUACUUAUAAAUAUAAAACCUCUUUUAUCUUUUGGUUGGGGCGACUAGGGAACAAAAAAAGCUUCCCCUACUUAUUUAAACCUUCUUGUUAGGAUCCAGUAUUUUCUGAUUAAAGAAAUUAGUUACCGCAGGGAUAACAGCAUAAUCCUUCUUGAGAGAUCUAAUCGAAAGAAGGGGUUGUGACCUCGAUGUUGGACUAGGAUAUCCCCAAGGUGCAGAAGCCUUUGAUGGUUGGUCUGUUCGACCAUUAAAAUCCU
rnacentral:rRNA from 1 species